rnacentral:lncRNA from 1 species
GCCGACCUCAGAUUCCCGGUAAUCAGUGUCACACCAGGAGGCAAGGGCUGGGAGGUGGAGAAUUUUAAGGCGAUCCCCUACAUGUAAAGAACGCUGCUCAGCAUCUGAAAAGUAGCAGGAGCUCCAUAAAUGGCCACAGACCAGCCACCCACCUCCCAGAAAAAUCCCCUCGUGAGAAAAACUCCUCGUUGGACUGACUGGAGGUAAAGGGUUUAAUUUAGUAUAAAUAUGUAGAGCAGG